rnacentral:rRNA from 1 species
UACGUAGGGGGCAAGCGUUAUCCGGAUUUACUGGGUGUAAAGGGAGCGUAGAUGGCUGUGCAAGCCAGAUGUGAAAGCCCGGGGCUCAACCCCGGGACUGCAUUUGGAACUGUGUAGCUGGAGUGUCGGAGAGGCAGGCGGAAUUCCUAGUGUAGCGGUGAAAUGCGUAGAUAUUAGGAGGAACACCAGUGGCGAAGGCGGCCUGCUGGACGAUGACUGACGUUGAGGCUCGAAAGCGUGGGGAGCAAACAGG